AGUAUCCUCCGCGCUAGUGUAGGCUGUCGGUCCUCGGGGCACCACAGGGUGCUUGUUUUUAAUGAUUUGUGUAGCCUCCUUGAGCAGGCUGGCUCAGACCUGUUCCACCACUGUGAAAGAGACCACCUAGAUAGGUCUGUUGUUCUGCCACCUCAGCCAAAGAUGCCACUACCUGCUGAGCAGCUGAACCUGUUCUCCUGACACUAUCCCAUGGCAGGAAGGUUGUCCUAUCACCCAGUCAUGGGUUAUGCAGAAGCACUCAAGAGCACUAGCCUUGCAAAACUACAGUUCCAAGGACUGCAUGUGAUAUUUGAAAUGUAUGUUUUAUGAACUCUUAAAGAAAUACCACACAUAAUCUCUGCUUAUAUUGUAACAUACUAUAAACAACUGGUAUAAUGUUUACCUCAUGGGUGCUGUUUGAACCAUAGAAGCUCUAUCCUUCAGAAUAAUUUAAAAUUAUUUUUAAAAUUAAU
rnacentral:lncRNA from 1 species